rnacentral:rRNA from 1 species
CGUAGGCAGCAAGCGUUGUUCGGAAUUACUGGGCGUAAAGAGUGUGUAGGCGGUGCUCUAAGUUUGGUGUGAAAUCUCCCGGCUUAACCGGGAGGCUGCAUCGAAUACUGGAAUGCUAGAGGGUGGGAGAGGUAAGCGGAAUUCCUGGUGUAGCGGUGAAAUGCGUAGAUAUCAGGAGGAACACCUGUGGUGUAGACAGCUUACUGGACCACUUCUGACGCUGAGACACGAAAGCGUGGGUAGCAAACAGGAUUAGAUACCCUGGUAGUCCACGCCCUAAACGAUGCAUACUUGGUGUGGGCCAUUCAUUUGGUCUGUGCCGGAGCUAACGCGUUAAGUAUGCCGCCUGGGGAGUACGGUCGCAAGGCCUG